rnacentral:rRNA from 1 species
UACGGAGGGUGCAAACGUUGCUCGGAAUCAUUGGGCGUAAAGAGCUCGUAGGCGGUGUGUCGCGUCGGCCGUGAAAACUGUGGCUUAACCAUGGGCUUGCGGUCGAUACGGGCAUCACUGGAGUUCGGCAGGGGAGACUGGAAUUCCUGGUGUAGCGGUGAAAUGCGCAGAUAUCAGGAGGAACACCGGUGGCGAAGGCGGGUCUCUGGGCCGAUACUGACGCUGAGGAGCGAAAGCGUGGGGAGCGAACAGG